GUGGCGGCCGAGCACAUGGGCCCGCGGGCCGGGCGGGCUCGGGGCGGCCGGGACGAGGAGGGGCGACGACGAGCUGCGAGCAAAGAUGUGCCCCGGGACCCCCGGCACCUUCCAGUGGAUUUCCUUGCGGAAAGGAUGUUGGCGGUCCCUGUGACCUGUGGAGACACGGCCAGAUCUGCCCUCCAGCCUGAUCUUUUGGCCAGAAGGAGAUUAAAAAGAUGCCCCUCAAGAUGGCUGUGCCUGUCAGCUGCAUGGAGCUUCGUUCAAGUAUUUUCUGAGCCUGAUGGAUUUACAGUGAUCUUCAGUGGUCUGGGGAAUAACGCUGGUGGAACCAUGCACUGGAAUGACACACGCCCGGCACAUUUCAGGAUACUAAAAGUGGUUUUAAGGGAGGCUGUGGCUGAAUGCCUCAUGGAUUCUUACAGCUUGGAUGUCCAUGGGGGACGAAGGACUGCAGCUGGCUGAGAGGGUUGAGAUCUCUGUUUACUUAGAUCUCUGCCAACUUCCUUUGGGUCUCCCUAUGGAAUGUAAGACCCCGACUCUUCCUGGUGAAGCAUCUGAUGCACGUUCCAUCCGGCGCUCAGCUGGGCUUGAGCUGACCAUACUCCCUGGAGCCUUCUCCCGAGGUGCGCGGGUGACCUUGGCACAUACAGCCAUCAUGAUGGUACUUUAAGUGGAGGCUGAAUCAUCUCCCCUUUGAGCUGCUUGGCACGUGGCUCCCUUGGUGUUCCCCUUUUACUGCCAGGACACUGAGAUUUGGAGAGAAUCCUGUUACACCUGGGAUUUAGGCACUUUCAAUCUGAAAAAAUACAUAUCCUUUCAGCACUCUGGACGGACUUGAGAACUGUCCUUACGUGACCUAAAGCUGGAGUAUUUUGAGAUUGGAGAAUUAAGGUUGCCCUGGUGCUCUGCAGUGGCAGGGCUGAGAUGAUUAUACAACCUGCACUCCAGGCCAAGUCCGGUACUCGUCCCAGCUGUCGGCUAAGCCUGCACUGCUAUGGAAGGACAGAAUAACGGGCUCCCAGAUUCACAAGCCCCACCAAGAGGAUCACCCCAGGAACGCUUGGAGGCUGAGGAGUUCACUGAGGCUACUGCAUCUUGAGACUCAGGAUGAAGACCCAGCUUGGGGCUGUCAAAGGUUUUUUGCAUGUCUGACACCCAUGACUCCACCUGGACCUUAUGGCUCCACCCAGAAGCAAUUCAGCCCAACAGGAGGACAGCUUCAACCCAUUACGAUUUCAUCUCUGCCCCAACCACUCAGCAGCAAGCACCUGUUACCUGUCCACCCCCACCCCUUCCCCCAAACUGCCUUUGAAAAAUCCCUAACCUAUGAGCUUUGAAUAAGAUGAGUACGAACUUCAUCGCCCACGUGGCGUGGCCGGCCUCGUGUCUAUUAAAUUCUUUUUCUACU
rnacentral:lncRNA from 1 species